AAAAAAAAGAGUCUGCACAUGUGAAGACUAUUUAAGAUGAUGACCUGUCAUUGCUAAAAUUCCUGAAGAAUGCAGGUGCAAAUAUCAUCAAUGUCUCAUCACAGGAAAGAUGGAAAGAGAAGUUGAUGGCAACCUUAAUUCUCUAUUUCCUAGAGGCUUAAAUUGGUUUAAGACCUUUCGCACUCCUGGGGUGAUUUCUGGAUUUCAGCCUUCAGGGAGGAGAGGAGAUUGCUAUUCCUCUUCCACAGCAGCAGGCGAGCUCUUUGCCGUGUGCUCCCCCUCCUCACUGCCAGCCGAUGCUGCCUGUGGGCCAGCAGAGAGGAGGGAGCAUCUUCCCCAAUCCAAGAGGAAUCUACUGGAGAUGUUCCCACGCUGAGGUGUCCUCUGGCUGCUCACCUCGUACCCCCAACACCUGCCCACCUCUUCCUGGAGUUCCUUGGACCAGGGACCAUUCACCUGGCUGCAUUGUCAGAGAGGAGUUAACAGUUUCUGGCAAAUGCAAGGGCCAGGAAUAGAGCUGCAAUUACUGUGUUAUUUCAAGCUUUGUAAUCUGAUGGGAGCUAACGCCUGUUAUUUUACGUUCAGUUUCCUCCUAUGGAGUCAAGGACUAGGAGGUGCUUUCUUCUUUUCCCUGGUGAGAUCUUUGCAAAACUCUCUCUUUUCCUGUUCACACUGCAAGCAACACCAAGCCAUCAAACGCUAGGUGCUCCUGCCUCUGUGUAAUCCUAGGUUAAAUGCACAAUGUGAUCUAAGGGGAUGUAAACAGAUGUCCCUCCGGUGCAGCAAGAGUUUCUAUUCCCAAGGCAACUACAAAGCUCAGCAUAUUACAGUUUCCAAAAUCAUCAGACAUUUUACUGAUGCCUCAGAAAUAGGGGUAUCUACCCAGCAGCCUGCUCACCUGUACCACUGAUAACCAAUCCCACACUGCAUUGCUUAAGACGCUUGCAGAAUAAACACUACAAGAAAGUCCCCAGCCCAGCUGGGGGUCUCUGAUGAAUACAGCUGGUGCCGACAUCUCCUGGUAGAAGACUUCUCAAUAUUUUUUUAUUAUUUUUUUUUUUUAUUUUAAAAGGAGUGCAGUACAAGCGAUGUUUCAAACAGGAAAUUUGGGAUGUCCCUCCACAGUUGCCUUGUGCACUCCUUGGCAGUACUGUGAAACACUACCAGCGACAAAUGAGAAACGCAGAAAAUGAGCAAUGGUGAGCUAAAGCUUGAGUGUCAACUUUGCUUUGUCAUUUCUUCCACUGCCUUUGUCAGUCAUUUUGCCAAGGUGUCAAAAGCUACAGCAUUAAUGUGUAUGUGGAGUUACACCCCAUCUUACGUGUGUAUGUCUGAUUUGAACACAUUCGCUGAGAAUCUGCUUCCCUGUGAAUCCCUUCACAUACAUCCUCCUGCUUAAGCUAUGGAUAGGAGCGGAAAUAGUAUCUGUGUGACAGCUUUGAACAGAUGGAAAAUACUGCUGUCAAUGUCUCAAUUAUUAAGCUUCUGUGUAUUCCCACAAAUUGCUGCCGUGCUCAAAAGAGCAAAAUAUAUGUACUAAGCCUUUUGCCUAGACCUUCAGGAGUUGCUGGGUUUUGAGUUCUUAGUUCUGCAGAGCAUUACUUAGAGAGGCCAAUCCUGUAAUUAUUGAUAUUUUCUCUUUGACAUCUUUACUUCUUCCUAAAUCUCUGACAUAAAUACAUCCCCAAACAAAUGUCUCUUGCUUUUCCACUACCAUUUUUAAGUACUGCCAGAAGGCAUGCUGCAGGCCAUCACCAAAAUAAAACAUUAAUUGCAAGUAGAAGUUUUCAGUGGAAAAGCCUUGAUGGAAGAAAAGGUACUUCGGUUGCCAGUGGGAGUCCAUGGAACUGCAAGUCUCUGGGCCUUGUAACUGUGAAGCCCCAGGUGGUUUUGAGGGGAGAGACUUCACAGUUGUGUGCAUACACACACAGAGCAGAGAACAUAAUCCCAUAAUCUGAUUAUGUCUGCUGCUUAGCUGCCAAGGAAUUGCCCACAUUACAGCAGUUGCCAGGUCAAUGAAACUCUAGUCUUUGGUGUAUAUGUAAGAGAAACCCAAAGGAUGUCAGUGAAACUCCUUUUGAGUUUGAUGUUAGGCAUGUGCUUAACUGGGCCUUACACUGGAAAAACAUCUGUAAAGAUUCAAAAAGUCAAAGUUGUAUUGCUCUGAAUAGCUUAAGUGUAUUGGGAAUAAAUUUCGGGAACAUAUGGUCACUGCACAUUGGUUUCUUCUUUUCUUGCUAAUGUCUCUGGUUGCCCAUUCAUCUUAUAAUUAACAAACCCAGUGGGAUAAAUCAUUGUUUCCAGCAGCUUAGCGUAUAGUUCUUG